rnacentral:rRNA from 1 species
UGGGGAAUAUUGGACAAUGGGGGGAACCCUGAUCCAGCCAUGCCGCGUGUGUGAAGAAGGCCUUAUGGUUGUAAAGCACUUUAAGCGAGGAGGAGGGUACUGGUAUUAAUACUACCAGGUACUGGACGUUACUCGCAGAAUAAGCACCGGCUAACUCUGUGCCAGCAGCCGCGGUAAUACAGAGGGUGCGAGCGUUAAUCGGAUUUACUGGGCGUAAAGCGUGCGUAGGCGGCUAAUUGAGUCGGAUGUGAAAUCCCCGAGCUUAACUUGGGAAUUGCAUUCGAUACUGGUUAGCUAGAGUGUGGGAGAGGAUGGUAGAAUUCCAGGUGUAGCGGUGAAAUGCGUAGAGAUCUUGAGGAAUACCGAUGGCGAAGGCAGCCAUCUGGCCUAACACUGACGCUGAGGUACGAAAGCAUGGGGAGCAAACAGG